CAAAUCACCAUAACUUCUUCGUUUUUGAUCUGAAUUGAGCGAUUCUUGCAGCCACGGAACGAGCGUAGAAUCCUCUAUUGAUUUAGCCAAGAAAAUAAAGUUUAAGAUGUGAUUAAGCUUUCAUGAAGCAAAAUCAUGGUGAUUUGGAGAAUAAACCCAUUCGGCCAAGAGGUGUUCUUGAAGUGUAUGUUGCAGGUGUAUGGUUUAUGACAUGACGGACUUCUACCUUAGUUCCAGAAAUCCUUAUGUACAGGAAGAAGGAGUCAACCAGUAGUGCUGUAGUAGGGUCGAGUCCUAGCAUAUGUAUAUUUGUUUGUCAAACGAUUUUCGUAUACAAUAUAACUCUGAUUUGUAAAAGCAUUUUGAGACUUCCGCUAUAAAACCGUUUGGUUUGUUUUGGAAUGGGCUGUGCUAGGAUGUGGGACAUCUCAUGGUAAGACCCAAGUUCCUAUGGAACGUUUUCUAUUUUGAAAAAGACGUUUGUAUACGUCAAAGCUCAAGGAGAUUUUAAUGAAA